CCGUAGGGGUAACCCGUUAGGCCCCAACGAAGAACUGGGAGUAACAACCUGGAAACGAAGAUGCUAAUACCGGAUAACAACACUAGACGCAUGUCUGGAGUUUAAAAGAUGGUUCUGCUAUCACUCUUGGAUGGACCUGCGGUGCAUUAGCUAGUUGGUAAGGUAACGGCUUACCAAGGCAAUGAUGCAUAGCCGAGUUGAGAGACUGAUCGGCCACAUUGGGACUGAGACACGGCCCAAACUCCUACGGAAGGCAGCAG
rnacentral:rRNA from 1 species